rnacentral:rRNA from 1 species
GCCUCCUCGUUUGCUGUGAAAAAAUUAGAGUGUUCAAGGCAGGCGGUUUCUCGCACAUGAAUACAUUAGCAUGGAAUAAUAAGAUACGACAUCUGGUCUAUUUUGUUGGUUUGCGACUGGGUGUAAUGAUAAACAGGAACAGUUGGGGGUAUUCGUAUUCGGUUGUCAGAGGUGAAAUUCUUGGAUUUACUGAAGACGAACUACUGCGAAAGCAUUUACCAAGGAUGUUUUCAUUAAUCAAGAACGAAAGUUUGGGGAUCGAAGAUGAUUAGAUACCAUCGUAGUCUAAACCAUAAACAAUGCCGACUUGGGAUUGCGCGGGUCACUCUUCUUUUGUCCCGCGCAGCACCAUAUGUGAAAGCAAAGUCUUUGGGUUCCGGGAGGAGUAUGAUCGCAAGGUCGAAACUUAAAGGAAUUGACGGAAAGGCACAACAAGGUGUGGAGCCUGCGGCUCAAUUCGACUCAACUCGGGUAACCUUAGUAGGUCAGGACUCUAGAACGAUUGACAGAUCGAAGCUCUUUCUUGAUUUAGAGGGUGGUGGUGCAUGGCCGUUCUUAGUUGGUGGAAGGGCGAAUUCGUU